UUCUUCAUCUUCUGUUAAGGCGUCUUAUCGUUGUUGUUCUUUGUUUCUCAUAUUGCUGAGGCAUUGUGUUGCUCUCUUAGGUAUCUAUUCCAGAUCUGAUUUCCUUGUGACUCUCAUGGGAAAGGAAGACUUUCCAGUUCAUCCACACCUCCCUUCUCUGAGGAACAAGUGGCUAAGCUUCUUGCCUUAUUAGAUCAAAAAAAUCCAUCUGAGACAGUGGGUACUAAAAUGGCAGGUUUGUCUAACUUUCAUAGGACUGGUUGGAUUAUUGAUUCUGGAGCUAAUCAGCAUAUGACAUCUAGUUUUUUUGAACUUAGAUAAUGUUGUUGACAUAUAUGAUUUAAAUUUAUAAAUAAAUCGCCCAAAUGGAACUGAGGCAAAAAUAAAUAACAUUGGGAAUUUAAAAUUGUCAAACAAUGUUACUUUGUUUGAUGUCUUGGUGGUUCUAGAAUUUAAUAUCAAUCUUUUCUGUAUUCAUAAACUUGCUAGAGAUAAUAAACUGUUUGUUGGGUUCGAUGAGUCUUGAUGCUAUGUUCAGGAUUCUCUUUAAUAGAAUAUAGUGGGGACUGGUAGUCAAGAAGGUGGGUCUAUAUUUUUUUGAUCAAUUUAAUAAGGAUUUUUCAUUUUAAGGAGUUGAUUAUAUUAAGUUGUUGAUCAAGAAGGAUUAAUUGGAGCUGUCAAGAUUCUAAGAGGGUAGCGGAGUUAUUAUGACUAUUAUUGAAGGGCUAAAAGAGAAACUUCUCGAUAUAUAUUCUCUUUAGCUUGACCGACGUCUAAGAAGUUUGUUUUAACAUAUCUUCUUUCAUCUUCUUUGAGAGAGUGUUUAGGGUUUCUUUUACUAUUUCAGUUCGUAUUGUAAUGAUUGAGUGUUUGAACAACCAUGCUCACAUGCCGAAUUUUGCAUUUAAGACGAUUGUUUUCUCAUCCACGAUAUAACAUUAUUUGAUAGAUAAGUUAUUUUCCUGGUUUUCGAUAUUAUCUUAAACCUCAAUUAUCUUGAUGGAAACCUAAUAUUUUUUUUCCAUCUAUCAUACUUUUUGCCCUACGAUUGGAGCAGACUUAG